rnacentral:rRNA from 1 species
GACGAACGCUGGCGGCGCGCUUAACACAUGCAAGUCGAGCGAGAAGCUUUUAAAGGAUUCUUCGGAUGAAUUUAAAAGUGGAAAGCGGCGGACGGGUGAGUAACGCGUGAGAAACCUACCCUGCACAGGGGGAUAGCCAUUGGAAACGAUGAUUAAUACCCUAUAUGACCACAAUGCCGCAUGGCAUAGUGGUAAAAAACUCCCGGUGGUGCAGGAUGGUCUCGCGUCUGAUUAGCUAGUUGGUGAGGUAACGGCUCACCAAGGCGACGAUCAGUAGCCGGCCUGAGAGGGUGAACGGCCACAAGGGGACUGAGACACGGCCCUU